rnacentral:lncRNA from 1 species
UCCUAUAGCAAUUACGAUUGACAAACAAUUAAUCUAGUUCCAGUAUAAACCCUAGGGUCAAUAGUGAUUUAUAACUUAAAAUCAAUUCGAAAGUGAUCAAUUAACGAAAAGCAAUAAACAUGAGAUUAACUGAAUAAUUAUAAGUUUUCAUUGAAUAAACUAGAACACGUAGUUACAUGGCUCAGAUAGUUUCAAAGAGAAUCAUCUAUAAUUCCUAAUCUAAUGAGAUUAGUUACUCAUAAUAAUAAUUGACAUAACAAAGAGUUAAGAGAAUUAUACAUGAAUAACCGAUGAAGACCGCGACGGCAAAACCUUGAAUUUUCUUCUCCUGCCGGUACGUAUUUUUCUCUCUCCCAGAAAGUCCCCUUUUUCUAUGAUCAAAAGGCCUAUAUAUAGGCUGCAUAACGUGUUAAAAUUGUGCCAUAUAAAUUUAGAUCAAAUCCCACAAAUUGGAUUUGACUAACACGUCAUUCAUAAGUAAUCAAAUCGUGUCAUGCUGUUGCAAGUUGUCUCCCUAGGUGACGCGUGGCUGACAUCAUGUGCUCGUGGGAACAUGAAAUCGCACCCCUAUUGAAAACUUGUCGCGACGCGAGAAAAACAGAGAACUCACGCGAGACUUACUUCUAAAACUUGAAUUUUUU